rnacentral:rRNA from 1 species
GGUGUAGGUGGCUUGGUAAGUCAGAAGUGAAAGCCCUGGGCUCAACCCAGGAAGUGCUUUUGAUACUGUUAAGCUUGAGUGUGGAAGAGGUAAGUAGAAUUCCAGGUGUAGUGGUGAAAUACGUAGAUAUCUGGAGGAACACCGGUGGGGAAGCCGGCUUACUGGUCCAACACUGACACUCAGACCCGAAAGCGUGGGGAGCAAACAGGAUUAGAUACCCUGGUAGUC